UACGUAGGGUGCAAGCGUUGUCCGGAAUUAUUGGGCGUAAAGAGCUCGUAGGCGGUGUGUCGCGUCGGCCGUGAAAACCUGCAGCUUAACUGUGGGCUUGCGGUCGAUACGGGCAUCACUGGAGUUCGGCAGGGGAGACUGGAAUUCCUGGUGUAGCGGUGAAAUGCGCAGAUAUCAGGAGGAACACCGGUGGCGAAGGCGGGUCUCUGGGCCGAUACUGACGCUGAGGUGCGAAAGCGUGGGGAGCAAACAGG
rnacentral:rRNA from 1 species